rnacentral:tRNA from 1 species
UGGAUAAUAGUUAAAUUAACAUUUAAGUUGCAUUUAAAAAAUACUGAUAUUCAGUUUAUCUUA